rnacentral:rRNA from 1 species
UACGGGGGGAGCAAGCGUUGUUCGGAUUUACUGGGCGUAAAGGGCGCGUAGGCGGCGCAACAAGUCACUUGUGAAAUCUCCGGGCUUAACCCGGAGCGGCCAAGUGAUACUGUCGUGCUAGAGUGCGGAAGAGGCUACUGGAAUUCUCGGUGUAGCGGUGAAAUGCGUAGAUAUCGAGAGGAACACCUGCGGCGAAGGCGGGUAGCUGGGCCGACACUGACGCUGAGGCGCGAAAGCGUGGGGAGCAAACAGG